rnacentral:rRNA from 1 species
UACGGGGGGGGCAAGCGUUGUUCGGAAUUACUGGGCGUAAAGGGCUCGUAGGCGGCUACUCAAGUCAGAGGUGAAAGCCCAGGGCUCAACCCUGGAACUGCCUUUGAAACUAGGUAGCUAGAAUCUUGGAGAGGUCAGUGGAAUUCCGAGUGUAGAGGUGAAAUUCGUAGAUAUUCGGAAGAACACCAGUGGCGAAGGCGACUGACUGGACAAGUAUUGACGCUGAGGUGCGAAAGCGUGGGGAGCAAACAGG